AAAACUAGUGAUGCCACGUGUGCAGAUUUAUCUCUAAAUUUACAGAUUUCUGAUUAACGUUGCAAAUAUUUGAAGAUUUUACUUCACAACAAAUGUUAAAUGGAUUCUGCAAAAGCUUUAUUGCACUAACUUUUUAAAACUAGCUUGAAAAUUUAACCUGGCAUCCCUGAUGUGAACGGCAUAUGGCAUUUAUACUAAUAUUAGUGUGUGAGCAAAAAGUUCCUGUCAAAUUUUUUUAGUGCUAGAGUCUAAAAAGUCAUAACACUGGCAAUACUAGAUUUUCUCGACUUAUUUCGCAUACAGUAUUGGGCAAAACAUGUGCAACACAAAUCGAGCAAUCUUAAAAAGUAACAGUAAGCAACUGAAGUCGGAGGUGCACUAAAGUUUUAAAGUUCUACCAUUCAUCAAUAAUAUGGUUCGGUAUUGAUUUUCAAAUCAAUUAAUUAAACAACAUCAGAAUUUGAAAUCAUGUUCACUGACUCUGAUCAAUUGUCAUAACUCAUCUUGAAGACCCUCAAACAAACAACAACAUCGAAAGUAUAGAAAGAGAUGCAUUAAAAUGCACCAAAUCCUACAACCUUUCUAGACAAAUGACCAGCUUGGUUAGUGGACGGAAGAUGGGAGCUGCUCGGUUCCUUUCGAGACAAUUUGAUUACAAGCUCCACAAAACAAACACUCGGACCUAGCGACGGUUCGAAUGUCGUUUGGGUGGUUUCGAUUCUCUUGCUUUCUUUCUUUGUUUCUUUGAGAUCGUCGCAGUCUGAUAACAUAAGUCAUCCGAUGUGAGCCGUACGGACUAGAAAUCCGAGUUCUGAACUGAACGUGUUGGAUUUGAACCUUUUC